UGGAGAGUUUGAUCCUGGCUCAGAUUGAACGCUGGCGGCAUGCUUUACACAUGCAAGUCGAACGGUAACAGGGAGCUUGCUCCGCUGACGAGUGGCGAACGGGUGAGUAAUGCGUCGGAACGUGCCGAGUAGUGGGGGAUAACGCAGCGAAAGUUGUGCUAAUACCGCAUACGUACUGAGGUAGAAAGUGGGGGACCUUCGGGCCUCACGCUAUUCGAGCGGCCGACGUCUGAUUAGCUAGUAGGUGAGGUAAAGGCUCACCUAGGCGACGAUCAGUAGCGGGUCUGAGAGGAUGAUCCGCCACACUGGGACUGAGACACGGCCCAGACUCCUACGGGAGGCAGCAGUGGGGAAUUUUGGACAAUGGGCGAAAGCCUGAUCCAGCCAUGCCGCGUGUCUGAAGAAGGCCUUCGGGUUGUAAAGGACUUUUGUCGGGGAGGAAAUCCCCAGCGCUAAUACCGCUGGGGGAUGACAGUACCUGAAGAAUAAGCACCGGCUAACUACGUGCCAGCAGCCGCGGUA
rnacentral:rRNA from 1 species